AACGAACGCUGGCGGCAGGCUUAACACAUGCAAGUCGAGCGCCCCGCAAGGGGAGCGGCAGACGGGUGAGUAACGCGUGGGAAUCUACCUUUUGCUACUGAAUAACUCAGGGAAACUUGUGCUAAUACCGUAUGUGCCCUUCGGGGGAAAGAUUUAUCGGCAAAGGAUGAGCCCGCGUUGGAUUAGGUAGUUGGUGGGGUAAUGGCCUACCAAGCCGACGAUCCAUAGCUGGUCUGAGAGGAUGAUCAGCCACAUUGGGACUGAGACACGGCCCAAACUCCUACGGGAGGCAGCAGUGGGGAAUAUUGGACAAUGGGCGCAAGCCUGAUCCAGCCAUGCCGCGUGAGUGAUGAAGGCCCUAGGGUUGUAAAGCUCUUUCACCGGUGAAGAUAAUGACGGUAACCGGAGAAGAAGCCCCGGCUAACUUCGUGCCAGCAGCCGCGGUAA
rnacentral:rRNA from 1 species